rnacentral:piRNA from 1 species
UAUUAUGCCAGAUUUAAACCCACUGGGCCU